rnacentral:lncRNA from 1 species
AUGGGAGGGGGCCAGAGCAGCCUAAGAACAAGGCCCAGGCCAGAAACUCAAGCGAGGUGCUCAGGUGCCCCCCACCCCCCCGGCCCUCACCCAGGGGUGGCCUGGUCGGCCGCAGCCGGGGCCAGGAGGCGGGUGUCACGGCGCGGACGCCGGGGUCCGGAAGAGCGAACCCGGGACGAGCCAGGGACGAGCCAGGGACGGAGCCGAGUGGCGCGAGCCGGGCCGGUGUCCCCCCCCUCCCCCCGGCAGGUGGCCAAGCGACAGAUUUCCUGGGCGACCGAGUGGCGGGGAGGGAAACCGCCCGGUCCUGCCACCUGCUGCCCGGGGCCAGAGCAGGCGCCCAGGUCGCGCGGCCUCAGAAACGCCGCUGGCCCGAAACCGGGGGCAGGCAGCCGGGGGCGCACCAAGGCCUCGCUCUGGGGGACAAGGGCGGCUGCCGAGGGUCCCCCGGGCCGCGCGGGGGGCGCCGGGGCGCGGCCCGGGCGGGCGGGGGGCGGCGAGGACGGCGGGGACCGCGAGGACCGCGAGGCCCCGCCCCGCCGCCCCGCCCCGCCCCGCCCGCCGUGUCCCCGGCGACCGAGACCUCCGCGCCGGGCGGGGGCCGCGGGAGGGGGAGCCUGGCCCGGUUGCUGCGCAACGGCCGGUGACGUCAGGCGAUUGAGUUUGGUUCCCAAGGUAACUGGCCGGGCAGCUGGGCCGGGAACUAUUUGUGUCUGUCCCCAGAGGGGCUGCGGAGCCUCCGGGGUCUGGCGCAGCCGAGGAAAUGCGCCGCUGGCCCGCGGGCAGGCGGGGGACAGAACACAGAGGCCCUUUCAGCUCCCGGAGGCCGGCGACCCGGGCGGGGCGGCGUCUGCGCCCCACGGGAGGACGCCCCUCCUCCGCUCCCUGCCGCCCCGGCUCUCUCCCCACGCCCGAGGGGGAGGCCCUGCACCGGCGGGCUUUGUCCUACUUAUAAACGCCCUCCUGGGUAAACUGGGGGAAGAAAGGGGCUUCUGUGUGCAGCGGCCCGGCCCCCCCGCCCCCAACCCCGCUGCACACAGUAGGCGCUCAGCACAGCACUCCCGGGCGCUCGCAACCCCACGUGGCGCUCCAUCUCCAGCGCCUCCCUACCUGUCCUCCGUGCCCUGGAGAGCGCAUCAGCAGAUGGGCUCCAUAAUCGGAGGGGCGGGGAGCACAAUGCAGAAAUGA